CUCACCUACCGUACUUCCUUAUAAGGUAUGUCCUCCAUUUGUCUGUCAAUCAAACCGGGAGGCUCCACCAACUCCUUCCUGGAGACAUGCAUCAGAGCGCACAGCUGAGCUUUGAGGUGGCCGGAGCACGGCAGGCGACCUCGACGUACGUCCUGACAAAGUUGGAGAACUUUAAACCGAAGAACUCAACCUCGACCACGCCUAGCUCAACAAACACCAGCUGCAAGACGGAGGCCGCCUUCGAUGAUCUCUGAGGACAACACACUGCGUCACCUUCAGAGCCUUCAUCACUCACAGAGACAGGAUGCUGAAGAACUUAUCAGAUCUAUUAAACCUAUCUUUUCAUUUCAAUUCAUCCAUUCAUUCUCUUCCACUUAGCCUUAUCGGGUCGUGGGGGGAUGGAGCCUAUGCAAGCCACUAUAAACAAGAGACAGGGUAGACCCUGUAUUGCCAGCCUGAUGUAGGGCUAACACAGAGAAACAGACAACCAUUCACACCUAUGGGCAAUUUAGAUUCACCAGGUAACCUUAUCCCACUAAAUGCAUUUCUUUGCACUGUGGGAGGAAGCUGUAGAACCUGGAGAGAAAAUGCAGACUCCAGACUCAGGUUUUCUAUUUUUUACUGCCACUAAAAUCAAAGUUCAUAACAGAAAAUUCUUAUUAAUGAUCUUUCAAAGUAAAUCCCCUCUAAGUGCACAGAGGUUUGAUGGUGGCCACAGAGUGGUGACAGUCUUACUCAGAGGAGAGAGGAAACGGCCAACAGGAAG